rnacentral:rRNA from 1 species
AGAGUUUGAUCAUGGCUCAGAAUCAACGCUGGCGGCGCGCUUAACACAUGCAAGUCGCACGAGAAAGUGGAGCAAUCCAUGAGUAAAGUGGCGUACGGGUGAGUAACACGUGGGUAAUCUACCUCUUAGUGGGGAAUAACCCUGGGAAACCGGGGCUAAUACCGCAUAAGCUCGAGAGAGGAAAGCAGCAAUGCGCUGAGAGAGGAGCCCGCGGCCGAUUAGCUAGUUGGCAGGGUAAGAGCCUACCAAGGCAUAGAUCGGUAGCCGGCCUGAGAGGGCACACGGCCACACUGGCACUGAAACACGGGCCAGACUCCUACGGGAGGCAGCAGUGGGGAAUCUUGCACAAUGGGGGAAACCCUGAUGCAGCGACGCCGCGUGAGCGAUGAAGCCCUUCGGGGUGUAAAGCUCUUUCGGCAGGGAAGAUUAUGACGGUACCUGCAGAAGCAGCUGCGGCUAACUACGUGCCAGCAGCCGCGGUAAUACGUAGGCAGCGAGCGUUGUUCGGAGUUACUGGGCGUAAAGGGUGUGUAGGCGGUUCUUUAAGUUUGGUGUGAAAUCUCCCGGCUCAACCGGGAGGGUGCGCCGAAUACUGAGGGACUUGGAGUGCGGGAGAGGAAAGUGGAAUUCCUGGUGUAGCGGUGAAAUGCGUAGAUAUCAGGAGGAACACCGGUGGUGUAGACGGCUUUCUGGACCGUAACUGACGCUGAGACACGAAAGCGUGGGUAGCAAACAGGAUUAGAUACCCUAGUAGUCC